rfam:Calypte anna contig8124, whole genome shotgun sequence.
UUCGAGACCAGAGUCACACCUUCACAGGUCUGGUUGUCCUGGUGUGCUAUAGAUCUCGGACAUAAACACCUGAUCUCUAUUCACUGGCUGCCCCCUCUCCUGUCUCAGCUAGCCACCAGAUCAGUGACACCA